UUCUGUAAUAUUUUUCAUAAUUAAGUAAUAAUAACCGCUAAACAAAAGUACCACAAAAGUGUCAAAACAGUCCUGGUCCUUAACGUACAACAUGGCCAAAACAGUCUUGUCCUUCAAGGGUUAAUAUGAUUUUUUUUUCUUCAUAUUAUCAUUAGACUUGGAGAUUCAUUUUGUUCUGAACUACAAUUCGACCAUAUUUGGUUCAAAAUGUAGCCGAAUGAGAAGCCAAAUGAAAAGUGCAAUGCCUCAGCAUGUUCGUUUUGAUUCAUAAUUCUGAUUCCUGCCUGUGCUACCAAAAAAGGGAUGAGUUCUGUGGAAAAAAAGAUGAUUGAUAGA